rnacentral:misc_RNA from 1 species
GAUGAAGAACGUAGCGAAAUGCGAUAAGUAGUGUGAAUUGCAGAAUUCCGUGAAUCAUCGAAUCUUUGAACGCACAUUGCACCUUCUGGUAUUCCGGAAGGCAUGCCUGUUCGAGAGUCAUUAACAACCGUUUCGAUCCCUUUCUUUCAGAAAUUACAAAGAGGAAAAGGGUUUGGUUAUGGUGGAGGAGGGAAAGGGAGCGUUUAGCCUGUAAAAAAAGAGGCUGUGUUCCGCCUCCCCCCCAAAAUUGUACAGGCGGUCGUGUGCGCCCACGCAUCGAGGUGUUGUAAAAGCUGCCACGGCACUUUUCACCUGUGCAGUGCGAGAUUGGCCAGCCGGUUUAAAAACCCCUCCAAACAAUCAAAGGUUGACCUCGGAUCAGGUAGGGAUACCCGCUGAACUUAAGCAUAUCAAUAAGCGGAGGA